rnacentral:rRNA from 1 species
GGGGUAGCAAUACCCUGAUGGCGACCGGCAAACGGGUGCGGAACACGUACGCAACCUUCCUUUAACUGGAGAAUAGCCCCUCGAAAGAGGGAUUAAUACUCCGUAACAUGAUGAUAAGGCAUCUUAUUAUUAUUAUAGCUCCGGCGGUUAGAGAUGGGCGUGCGCCUGAUUAGGUAGUUGGCGGGGUAACGGCCCACCAAGCCUGCGAUCAGUAACUGGUGUGAGAGCACGACCAGUCAUACGGGCACUGAGACACGGGCCCGACUCCUACGGGAGGCAGCAGUAAGGAAUAUUGGUCAAUGGACGCAAGUCUGAACCAGCCAUGCCGCGUGGAGGAUUAAGGCCCUCUGGGUUGUAAACUCCUUUUAUCUGGGAAGAAAUCCAUAUAUUCUUAUAUGGUUGACGGUACCAGAGGAAUAAGCACCGGCUAACUCCGUGCCAGCAGCCGCGGUAAUACGGAGGGUGCAAGCGUUAUCCGGAUUCACUGGGUUUAAAGGGUGCGUAGGCGGGUAAGUAAGUCCGAGGUGAAAUCUCUGAGCUUAACUCAGAAACUGCCGUGGAUACUAUUUGCCUUGAAUAUUGUGGAGGUGAGCGGAAUAUGUCAUGUAGCGGUGAAAUGCUUAGAUAUGACAUAGAACACCAAUCGCGAAGGCAGCUCACUACACAAUCAUUGACGCUGAGGCACGAAAGCGUGGGGAUCAAACAGGAUUAGAUACCCUGGUAGUCCACGCCCUAAACGAUGAUUACUCGACAUCAGCGAUACACUGUUGGUGUCUGAGCGAAAGCAUUAAGUAAUCCACCUGGGAAGUACGAUCGCAAGAUUGAAACUC